rnacentral:lncRNA from 12 species
GGAAUGCCCAGUCCCUGGGUGUCGACUGACAGGGAGCAGACAUGAUUCAUGGGCCUACUCUCUUCACGAGUUGGCCAUGUAUUUCUCCUGUGGAGGAAGGAAAGAGGGUCUUCAAGUCAAGAAGAGGAACUUCAAGAGAAUCAUUUGAAAAGUUUGACAUGGAUUGCCUGGCUAGAGAGACCAGAGCUGGGGUCUGACUGAUGCUUGACCAGCUUAAAGGGAAGAGGCUGUGACUAUCAGGAGCUCCAAGAUAACAAAGCCAAUCUUUGGGAAGACAUUGUACUGGAAACAGUCUAACUUCCUGAGUUAAGCAAAGCAAAAAUUGUGUGAGCUCCCAUGGGCCAAAUGGAAUGGAGCUGGAUUGUAUCAUCUUGAAAGGGAGUCUGGCCAAUGUGAUUCCAAAGGAAAUCGUGGUGAUGGUCAUUAGCAAUUGGAGGAAGGGAGCUGUUGAUGAGAGAUCCCAACUAUAGUCAUGGUGGGUUGCAGAGGAGGGAGCCUGAAGAACUCUCAGGAAGACACCAAGAAUCAAUGUGUCAUCAUAAAGAGUCUACCAUAUGAAGAGUUUACUCCAGGUUACAAUUGCACAGCCAAGCAAGACCUUUUUUUCCCUUAGUUGUUCUCCCUUCUCCUAUCUUCCUCCAAACUCUCAGCCCAUAGAAGGGUUUAAAAGAGCAGCUUGCAUGUAGAUGAGGUGGUAGAGGAAGAUAGGGGAAAAGAAGUCAACCAAAGCUCCCACUUCCAUUGCAAGCUUCCAAGCUACAGAAAAAUGGGACAUUUUUAUUCAUGUGGCAAAUUAGAAAUAUGCAAUUAUGAUACUGGACUGAACUUUCAUUAUCUGAAAAAGACUGGAUAAACUAUGGCUACAGUUGAGAUUUAAGCAAGGAGUGGGGAAAAAUAAUUCAAAGAACAGCUUUGAAAGCCCUGUGAUGAAAAGAAUAAGGUUGCUUUUUCAUAAUGCCCUGUACAUUCUAGAUCAUUUAAAAAAUUCACUACACACGCAUGCACAUAUUUAUGCAUUUAUAAAUACAUAAUUUUAAUAAGAAAGUAUUAAAAAGCUGAUUUACAUAUAUUUUCAAACAUUAGAACAGAACUGAAAUCAGCAAUACCAUAAGGGGAAACAAUUUUAGUUGUUAAUUAGGCACAAAAUAUAUCAAAAUAAUUUAAGGCAUCCUUUAUUUUACAUAUUUUGCUCUCCAAUAAGACACAAGUGAUUAUAAUUUUUAAAAACACUGUUUUUUGUGUUUCUUCAGCUCACAUUCAAUUAAUAUGAAGACUACUGCCGUUGAACUGAAUCCCCAGAUAAAAUACUGCAUUACCUCUACCUCUAUGUUUUGUUUUCAUUAGAGCAUUACACAAUAAUCCCAUUUUUCUCAGGUACCACAGUAGAAAAGGGAAGAAGAUGGGCAGCCCGGGUGGCUCAGUGGUUUAGCACUGACUGCAGCCCAGGGCAUGAUCCUGAAGACCCAGGAUCGAGUCCCACGUGAGGCUCCUUGCAUGCAGCCUGCUUCUCCCUCUGCCUGUGUCCCUGCCUCUCUCUCUGUGUGUCUCUCAUGAAAAAAUAAAUAAAAAUCUUAAAAAAAAAAAAAAAAAAAC